rnacentral:lncRNA from 1 species
AGGUGGUGAUGUUGGUAAGACACUUCCAGAAACAUUAGUAUCAGAAACUAAAAUAUUUAUGGCCAUAGGAGACUUACCAAGGAUGGGUGCAUAAGAGGCCUUGGAUGACUUCUGGACAACACCAGAAGUAUCCUUUAGAAUUAUUGCUUUAUGGCGCUCACUGAGAGGCACAUCAUCUUCAUCCAAAAACAUUGUCACCCUCUUCUUCUUCUUCUUCUU